UAGCUCAGUUGGUAAAGAAUCUGCCUGCAAUGCAGAAGACUCUGGUUCAAUUCCUGA
rnacentral:tRNA from 1 species